rnacentral:siRNA from 1 species
AACCUAGAUGAGUGUGGAGUCAUG